rnacentral:rRNA from 1 species
AGAACGAACGCUGGCGGCAUGCCUAACACAUGCAAGUCGAACGCUCUUGGGAUUUCGGUCUCAAGGGAGUGGCGCACGGGUGAGUAGCGCGUGGGAACCUGCCCUGUUGUGGGGGAUAACCGAGGGAAACUUCGGCUAAUACCGCAUGCGCCCCCGGGAGUGAUCCUGGGGGGAAAGAUUUAUCGCAGCAGGAGGGGCCCGCGUCGGAUUAGCUGGUUGGUGGGGUAACGGCUCACCAAGGCGAUGAUCCGUAGCUGGUCUGAGAGGAUGAUCAGCCUCACUGGGACUGAGACACGGCCCAGACUCCUACGGGAGGCAGCAGUGGGGGAAUAUUGGACAAUGGGCGCAAGCCUGAUCCAGCCAUGCCGCGUGGGUGAUGAAGGCCCUAGGGUUGUAAAGCCUUUCGGCGGGAAGAUAAUGACGGUACCGCAGAAGAAGCCCGGCUAACUCGUGCCAGCAGCCGC